GCCUUCGUGGUGUAAUGGUCAGAACACUUGGCGCCCGUAUUCGAGAGGUCCGAGGUUCGAGUCCCGGUGAGGGCA
rnacentral:tRNA from 1 species